CGCGGGAUGGAGCAGCUAGGUAGCUCGUCGGGCUCAUAACCCGAAGGUCGUAGGUUCAAAUCCUGCUCCCGCAAUAA
rnacentral:tRNA from 1 species